UACGGGGGGGGCAAGCGUUGUUCGGAAUUACUGGGCGUAAAGGGCUCGUAGGCGGCCAACUAAGUCAGACGUGAAAUCCCUCGGCUUAACCGGGGAACUGCGUCUGAUACUGGAUGGCUUGAGUUUGGGAGAGGGAUGCGGAAUUCCAGGUGUAGCGGUGAAAUGCGUAGAUAUCUGGAGGAACACCGGCGGCGAAGGCGGCAUCCUGGACCAACACUGACGCUGAGUGAGCGAAAGCCAGGGGAGCAAACGGG
rnacentral:rRNA from 1 species